GGGCCUAUAGCUCAGCUGGUUAGAGCGCACGCCUGAUAAGGCCCGUGAGGUCGGUGGUUCGAGUCCACUUAGGCCCACCA
rnacentral:tRNA from 1 species